GUAAAUAUAUGUUGUUAAAAGUUUGUAAGGCAUCUAAAAGUGUUGGACCUUGUUAUGGCAUGAUUGUGCUGUUGAAAAUCACGAAGCCAGACUUGACACACUGUUCCGAGGCAGCAUGCGCUGUACGUUGUUGAUUUUAUUUGGAAGAGACUUUCGUGUCAGGAUAUUACAGCUCUGAAAGAUAGCUGCUGCAUAGCCAAAGAUGAAAUCAACAAUUCCGAUAAUAUAACAUUCACGGUAGAGUUGGUUGCCGGCGUGUGUUGCAACACGUGUCCUGGAAUCCUUGGUACGUGCAGCGGUACAUGACGGAGUGACUACACUUGGAGUGAAAGGCCACCGCUUGUUUUUUUUCAGUCCGGCUGUGUUGAAGAAUUUCAUAUACAUAUCCACAAAACUGUUUCCACGAACAUGUGCAUUGUUGUUGGUAUUAUGUAAAACAUUGAUCUACUAAAUUCCUUAUUUUACCUAUGCUAUGAGAAGUAUGUGAUUUUACUAUAGCAAAAUCCCAAAAAAUAAAUCUAUUUAUAAGUAUGCUCUUUUCAUUUUAAACACAAACACACAACCCCCAUUAAAUUUAUAUUGGCAUCCACAUCUUUGAAUCAGUCAACAUUGCGAAUCAAGUUGUCUUUUUUAAGAACAAUUUUUUUUGCUAUGGAUGCAAAUAGUGAUGAUGCAAGGAAACAUAUUGUAAUUGGAAUUACUUCAGUGAUGGAUUCAAAAUCAUUUUUUUUAACGCUGGAUUGUACUAUUAAGCCUUCUAUAUAAAGAGUUCUAAACAAUGAGAAUUAGUAAACAAAUAUGGAAAAAGAAUACACCAGCAGGGAUUCAAUAUCCUUAAGUUAAUAACCCAAAAUAAAAACUUAAGAAAUGCACUUUGCCAUCAAGAAAUGUUAUUAUAAUAAAUAGUUAGUCUAUCAUUCACAUAUAUUUGUAAUUUUAUUUUAGAACGUUUCAAUAUUUAUAUGUCAAAAUUAUUUCAAAAUGUUCAGUUUUUGAAAAAUAUCAAGCAUGUUAAUUUCGUGAAUUAAAACAAAAUCACAUGACCGAAAGAAACAUUAUUCAACAUGUUCUCGAUAAAAAACAGUGGAAAAUUUAGAUAGCGGAGUGGUUCGGAAAAUUCAGAUAGCUUAAAUCAUUUUUAAACUUUUUCAAAAAAAAAUAUUUUUUAACUCUCAAUCAUUUGUAUAGGAAUCAAAUGCUGAUCAAUCCGAAGGAGGAAGGUCGACAAUAGUAAAGAAGAUAGUGAACGAAAUGAGACAAUAUCCCCUAUAUAUUAAUUGAGGAUCAUUUAAAAAGAUGUAACCUUAAUUUUGUACUAAUUACAUUUUAGACUUGCUGAGGUGGCGUUUAAGUAGAACCUAAUUUUGCUGAUGUGUCAUGAUUAGAAUCGAUUGAAAAAUUAGUUAGUCCAAUUUCAAUUUGCUAGGGAACGUCAUAUUAACUAGGAAGACUUUGUUAUACGAUUAACACCUUAUAAACGAAGUUUUAAAAGAAUAUUAACAAAGAGACGCAUUAGGUUUCUAAGAGGGAGUUGCGGCGGCAAAGAAUGAGUGGAGUGAAUUAAGGAGGCGAUGUGGUCAGCAGAGAGAAAGACAGUUGAGGAAAGAGAGGGAGACGAGAGAUGUGGAGAGAGUUCUGAAUGUUGUGAAGGAGAUGGAGGUUACGAGGCGGAACUGGGAGCUGGCGUCACAGGUUAUGACGGUGGUAGGGGUUUGGAGGAGGGACGGUGGUCGCAGGGGACGGUGGGGAUGUUGAGAGAUUCGAGGGCUUUGACAUGUUGUGGCCUGUGGGUCUAAUGGAGGUGCGAGGAGUGGGAGAGGUGCGUGUAAAGGGAGAGAUGGUUGGAGAAGGAGUUGGGGACAGGGAAGGAGCGUUUAUAUAAUUGAUGCUCGACGUUGCAAGUUUGAUCUUUGUUUGUGGGAUUGCUAAUUACUUGAAUGCACCAUAUUUGUGUAAAAAAGACGGGAUUGUGCUGAA